AGCAGCCGCGGUAAUUCCAGCUCCAAUAGCGUAUAUUAAAGUUGUUGCAGUUAAAAAGCUCGUAGUUGAACUUCGGAAUUUAUUCAUUGGUCAGGCUUAACUGUCUGUACUGGUGUGAUGAAUUCCUACCUUCUGAGGAAUCUUCAUGCCAUUCACUUGGUGUGGUGGGGAAUCAGGACUGUUACUUUGAAAAAUUAGAGUGUUUAAAGCAGGCUAACGUCUGAAUACAUUAGCAUGGAAUAAUAAAAUAGGACGGCUUGGUUCUAUUUUGUUGGUUCCUAGGAUCACCGUAAUGAUUAAUAGGGAUAGUUGGGGGCAUUAGUAUUCAAUUGUCAGAGGUGAAAUUCUUGGAUUUAUUGAAGACUAACUACUGCGAAAGCAUUUGCCAAGGAUGUUUUCAUUAAUCAAGAACGAAAGUUAGGGGAUCGAAGACGAUCAGAUACCGUCGUA
rnacentral:rRNA from 1 species